rnacentral:rRNA from 1 species
UACGUAGGGUGCGAGCGUUGUCCGGAAUUAUUGGGCGUAAAGGGCUCGUAGGCGGUCUGUUGCGUCGGGAGUGAAAACUUACAGCUUAACUGUGAGCGUGCUUCCGAUACGGGCAGACUUGAGGUAUUCAGGGGAGAACGGAAUUCCUGGUGUAGCGGUGAAAUGACGCAGAUAUCAGGAGGAACACCGGUGGCGAAGGCGGUUCUCUGGGAAUAUCCUGACGCUGAGGAGCGAAAGUGUGGGGAGCGAACAGG